AUGAACGCUGGCGGCGUGCCUAAUACAUGCAAGUCGAGCGAACAGACGAGGAGCUUGCUCCUCUGACGUUAGCGGCGGCCGGGUGAGUAACACGUGGAUAACCUACCUAUAAGACUGGGAUAACUUCGGGAAACCGGAGCUAAUACCGGAUAAUAUAUUUAACCGCAUGGUUCAAUAGUGAAAGACGGUUUUGCUGUCACUUAUAGAUGGAUCCGCGCCGCAUUAGCUAGUUGGUAAGGUAACGGCUUACCAAGGCAACGAUGCGUAGCCGACCUGAGAGGGUGAUCGGCCACACUGGAACUGAGACACGGUCCAGACUCCUACGGGAGGCAGCAGUAGGGAAUCGUCCGCAAUGGGCGAAAGCCUGACGGAGCAACGCCGCGUGAGUGAUGAAGGUCUUCGGAUCGUAAAACUCUGUUAUUAGGGAAGAACAAAUGUGUAAGUAACUAUGCACGUCUUGACGGUACCUAAUCAGAAAGCCACGGCUAACUACGUG
rnacentral:rRNA from 1 species